rnacentral:rRNA from 1 species
UGGGGAAUCUUCCACAAUGGACGCAAGUCUGAUGGAGCAACGCCGCGUGAGUGAAGAAGGUUUUCGGACCGUAAAGCUCUGUUGUUGGUGAAGAAGGAUAGAGGUAGUAACUGGCCUUUAUUUGACGGUAAUCAACCAGAAAGUCACGGCUAACUACGUGCCAGCAGCCGCGGUAAUACGUAGGUGGCAAGCGUUGUCCGGAUUUAUUGGGCGUAAAGCGAGCGCAGGCGGAAGAAUAAGUCUGAUGUGAAAGCCCUCGGCUUAACCGAGGAAUUGCAUCGGAAACUGUUUUCUUGAGUGCAGAAGAGGAGAGUAGAACUCCAUGUGUAGCGGUGGAAUGCGUAGAUAUAUGGAAGAAUACCAGUGGCGAAGGCGGCUCUCUGGUCUGCAACUGACGCUGAGGCUCGAAAGCAUGGGUAGCGAACAGGAUUAGAUACCCUGGUAGUCCAUGCCGUAAACGAUGAGUGCUAAGUGUUGGGAGGCUUCCGCCUCUCAGUGCUGCAGCUAACGCAUUAAGCACUCCGCCUGGGGGAGUACGACCGCAAGGUUGAAAC